UACAGAGGGUGCGAGCGUUAAUCGGAAUUACUGGGCGUAAAGCGCGCGUAGGCGGCUUUGCAAGUCGGGUGUGAAAUCCCCAGGCUUAACCUGGGAACUGCAUUCGAGACUGCAUUGCUAGAGUAUGGGAGAGGGAAGUGGAAUUUCCGGUGUAGCGGUGAAAUGCGUAGAGAUCUGGAGGAACACCGAUGGCGAAGGCAGCCUUCUGGGCCAACACUGACGCUCAUGCACGAAAGCGUGGGGAGCAAACAGG
rnacentral:rRNA from 1 species